CUUGGUCAUUUAGAGGAAGUAAAAGUCGUAACAAGGUUUCCGUAGGUGAACCUGCGGAAGGAUCAUUACAAAUCCAAAUAUUAACGAUGUGAGAUUACUCACACAUCGACAUUACCUAUUGACACUUGUAUAUUAUUUACGAAUGAAAGAAUACCUUUUAACAAUGGAUCUCUUGGCUCUUGCAUCGAUGAAGAACGCAGCAAACUGCGAUACGUCAUGUGAACUGCACUCUUCGCGAAUCAUUAAAUCUUUGAACGCAUAUGGCACCUCGAGGCACACGUCUCGAGGUAUACUUGUUUGAGCAUCUGAUCCAUCCUCACUCUACCAUUGGCAGAAUGUGCAACUGAGUGUAGUUGGGAUCUAAUACCCACCAGUAAAGGGUAUUAUUUCUUUAAAAGCAGGCACAGUCAUGAUUUCUGGUCACACACAACAUGGCUAUUCAUGGGAUAAUAUCCACGACGUGAAUGGCAUGUGUGUCACCAGCAAUCUUAGACAGCAAACCGACACUCACCAGAGAGUCAACUAACGAAACCGAUCUCAAAUCAAGUAAGAUGACCCGCUGAACUUAAGCAUAUCAGUAAGCGGAGGAAAAGAAACUAACAAGGAUUCCCCCAGUAGCGGCGAGUGAAGCGGGAACAGCUCAAAAUGAAAAUCAAAUAUCAAAGGUAUUUGAAUUGUAAUUGAAAGGCGAAGUCUUUUUUGUGGUGGGUACGUCUAAAUCCUUUGGAACAAGGUACCGAAGAGGGUGAAAGUCCCGUUUUGAUGUAUCAGCCGUAAAAGUCAAGACCGCGUCAACGAGUCAGGUUGUUUGGGAAUGCAGCCUAAAAUGGGUGAUACAUUUCAUCUAAAGCUAAAUAUCAGCAAGAGACCGAUAGCAUACAAGUACCGUGAGGGAAAGAUGAAAAGAACUCUGAAAAGAGAGUUAAAAGUACGUGAAAUUGUUAAUAGGGAAACGAUUGGAGCCAGAAGGACCGUUUUACUUGUACUACGGUCCGUUGACACUCUUUUAGAGACUGUCUGGAAAAGACAUUGGGUAAGGUGCCAAACACUCGUAAAAGAGAGUUUGAGUUAUAGACCCGAUGAGAUACAGACAUGUAAAAGAGUAUUCUAUUUAUUUAUUACGUCAACGUAAUGGAUCCAACCGACCCGUCUUGAAACACGGACC
rnacentral:rRNA from 1 species